UGCGCGAGCCGAGGGGCGGUGCCGCCGGAGCGGAGGGGAUAGGUCCUAUCCGCAGAGAGAGAUUUAGGGGCGUGGUCUGGGGGAGCUCUCCCCAUAUUGGCGGUUUCGCUUCCCGCGUCUUCUUGGAAAUGGAACAGGGGAAAGACCACCGUGAAAGGGCUGAGAGGGGAUGGCGAUACGCAUGCGCACAGAGAGUGAAAAUGUCUUCCACCAAAGUGGGCUUUCGUCUGGCUGCCUGUUUACUAAACAUUUCAGAAGCCAGAAAAAAAGACAUUGUUGAGAAAAUAGCUAAAGCUGCGCUUUAUGAUGAUAAUGGACAGAAACAUUCUCAAGCCACAGUACUUAAUAUAUUUUCUGAUUAUGAUUACAACAGAUCAGUUAUAACCAUAGCAGCUCCCAUUGACAUGUUAGGCAACUAUGUCAUUGCUGCCUGCACUGAGGCUUUCCGGUCAAUUGAUAUGGCUAUCCAGGAAGGAAUCCAUCCUUGCCUUGGAGCAGUGGACUUAGUUCCUAUCUAUCCUCUUUUGGAUGUAGGCGUGGAGGAAUGUGGAAAAGUGGCUCAAAGUGUUGGAGCCAGCCCCUAUGUGAUGAAUUGCAAUGUGACUAUAGACACUCAAGACGUGGCUAUAGGAAAAGAUAUAGCACGUGCUAUCCGAGGCAGCAAUACCCGUGGUUUAAAGGGUGUACAGACUAUGGCUUUUCCCCACAAUGAGAAAAUUGAAAUAGCUUGUAAUGUGGAGAGCUUUGAAGAUCAAGACAAUACAAUGACUGCACAUGAAGACUCUGGCUACAUUUCGUACUGUGUUCUUGGGAAGACUUUUUCGAACGGUGGUGCCCUUCAGCGAUGCACUGGUGCUGUGAAGACCUGAACCGCGCACGCACAGCCACUGGGAUGGACUGUGCCACUUGUCGUCACUGAGGAUUUAAAACGUGAUCCUGUGACAGUUUAAAUAAGUACUUGUCAACCCAUGUCAAAAAAGAUAACAGAAAGAGAGAGUCUUCAGGAUCACCUGACAACAUGAUUGGAAGGCAUGGACAGUUUUCCACAGAAGGAGAAGACUGGAACUUUUCAUUUAGAGAGGAGACGAACCCUACAACAGUUAACCUGAGCCAAUACCCAGAAUGCUGAACCCAAGCAACGCUUCCUUCAUGGAAAUUAUUUAUUUGUAUUGUAGUAGGAGUGGCCAGAGGCUGCAAGUCAAAUCGGAGCCCAACGAGUUCUGGCAGAUCAGCCGUCCCCAUGCUGGCUGUGAAGCAAUGGCUGCAGUUUAGAUACCUACUGUGCUUCAUGGAUUGCACCAGAAGUGACCAUCCUUCCCAAAUGCCAGCUCCGCGGCUGCAAUUGUAGAAAAGCUAUCCCCGCAUAAUCUCCCUGCGCCAAUGAGACAUGCCUGUUAGGGAGAGGAACUCCGCUCCUCCCCGUCUGCCCAGAAAGCAAAAUUGGGGCCACCUCACCAUUGCUGGGAACCAGCUCAGCAGCUGUGUCUGUGCAUGUGACCUCUCCAGCUACUCUCUGAACUCCCAUUCCUAAGCAGGCUCACUGAAAAGCUGACCAAGGGUCACCCCCUAGAUCCUGCCAAAAUCCUGGACCCCUCCAAGUCAGUCUUCAGGCCAAGGUAUAGAACAGAGCAACUGAUCUGGGAUUGUUCAACUCACUCCUGGAAGAGGUCAGGAUGCUCUUCAGCCUCGUUGCCUGGAGGAAAGAGGGAGGUGCUCAGAUACCCUGGUGAUGGACUUCAAAAGAACCUAGAUAGCUUCUUAGCUCUGUGCCCUUGCAGCUGCGUAUAUGAUACAUAUUUGUAUGUGUUUCUGUGUUAACACGGCCAAUCUGUUUUCCCAGGCUUUUUCUGGAAGGGGGUGGGUGUUGAGUGGGAUUCUGAAGCUGAUGGCUGGGAGGAGCCAGCUGUUGGCACACAGCCAGAUUGUAAAUGUUUUUGUUUGAUUGUUGUGCAAAAUCUAAAACAUGUGCUAAGA